rnacentral:lncRNA from 1 species
UGGCGAAGGAGGGGCGCGAGGAGGCGGCCACUGUUGAGGGGCGGGGCGUCCCGCCGAGAGUCUGGAUGAGGUCCGGGGAAUGAGGUGAUUCGCCCAAAAGCACACUACAAAUUGGAGUCACCAGCAGGUCUGCUAUUUUGCCACUAAACCAAUCUGCCGGUCACACCUUGGCUGUAAAGUGUCCUAACAGCCACCUACUUAUGAUUACUGCUUUCUUACCAAUAACCUCCCCAGCCUGUUGUGUGGCUCCUACAUCUUGAACAAAAGCGACCAAGGCAUACAUCUGUAGGAGACCAGAAUAUGCCACCCCAAAAUAUGCCUCCUUGGCCUAAGGAUUAUUCUGAGCUAGUAAUUUUGAGAAACAGAAGCUAUGAAAACAGCAUAAGCUACCCCUUUGAAAGAGAAAUUCACCCCGGCCACCACCCCGUCUGGGAAGUGAGGAGCGUCUCUGCCCAGCCGCCCCGUCUGAGAAGUGAGGAGCCCCUCCGC